UACGAGGGGUGCAAGCGUUAUUCGGAAUUAUUGGGCGUAAAGGGUGCGUAGGCGGCAUAUUAAGUCAACUGUUAAAUUCCUCGGCCUAACCGAGGCUCUGCGGUAGAUACUGAUGUGCUAGAGGGUGGAAGAGAGAAGUGGAAUUCUCGGAGUAGCGGUAAAAUGCGUAGAUCUCGAGAGGAACACCGAUGGCGAAGGCAGCUUCUUGGUCCACACCUGACGCUGAGGCACGAAAGCGUGGGGAGCAAACAGG
rnacentral:rRNA from 1 species